UUUCCACGGGGCCAACCGUCCCGACCUCCAGGGGCCGGGCGUCACUUCCCGUCGCGAGGAAAAAGCAGCGUCGCCUUGCCUCCGCCGCCUCCGGGAGCUGCCGCCGCUCCUCCUCCGCGUCUGGGCGCCGCCACCCCUCCGCCCCUUCAUCCCCGUUGCUAGCUCCGCCUCCGCCACCCCUCUGCCGCUUGGCCUCCCCGUCGGCGCUGCAACACCAACACCCCCUCGGAGAUCUUGAUUUGCACCCGCGCCUCCAGCUCGGCCGUCUCUACCUCGUCUUCCUCCUCGGCACAUAAAUUGUUGGCUUCAAGGUCGUUAUCUCCAAGAUUCAGUUCUUGUUCACUCGGUUCAUAUCUCCUCCAGACAUUUUUGUUCUAGAUGUCUUAGGACCAAACCAGCGACGGUCUUCUUGAGGGACUCAACUGGCAGAUUUGAGUUAAAUGAUUGGGAAAAAGUGUGCCCUGUUCUUCGGUGCUUUGAUCAAAUUUUAAUUGCUCCUUUGCUGUUCACGCAUCUACUGUGCUCAAUUAUAAGUAUAGUGGUGGCUCCCUGUAAAGGUUUCCUAAGAUAUGUUAGUGAUUUAACAGAGUAUAGUUCAGUUACCAUCAAUUUUACUUGGCAGCCUUUUUUCAAUGCUGCUGCUAAUUAGAGAUUGUCUCUUGUAGAGUAUGCAGUUAGCAGCUGGCACUGGCCAGUAUGGCCAUAUCCUUUUACUAUUCUAUUUAGAUCAAGUGAUCAGCAUGAGCAUAAUCGGGGAGUUAGAGUACUAUUGUUGAUACUAUGGCUUUUCAAACAGCAAUUGCAGGGACCAUCUAAUUAAAUCAGAAUAGUGGCUUGCAACUGGUACUAGGCUACUAGCCCCAUUGUUCUCUUAGGUAUUAAUAUAUGCUCAUUUUUUUUGCUCAGGAAUUACGUAUUGGAGAAAUCAGGUAAUUACAUAUUGCUUUAAUGAGAUGCAUUAAUGAUCUCACAUGUAUAGUCCAGUUGCCAUCAAUUAUGAUUGGAAGCUACUACUAAUAAUUACAUAUUGCUUUGUCACCUAACCAAUGGUCAAAAGGAUGAUAUUUCCCCUGUUUGUUUUGUCCUUCAGUGAACAUCAUUAGAGCAUUUUAGGAUUCAGCAUACUUGGCCCGCACAAAUUAGUUUGCUUGUGGCUAUUACACUGGAGAAUUUUUUUACACCGAAACAGCUAUAUGAUGUAUUGGUUUUCAUAGAAGAUGAAUCUUGUUUUAUAUGGCUUGCGGUGGAUACAAAUCAACAUUCGAUGUGUUGUUUAUCUCCGGAUUGACAUGGUGCUCCUGGAAGGCUAUCCCAUCUCUAUGAUGGAAUUAUAUCUAUUUAACUCAUAGUUGUAUAUUGUAAUUUGAAUAUUUGUGUAAAGAUCGUGAAAUUAUUUCUCAUGUAUUUCUUGCUGUUGAUUGUGUGAA